CUGAGACAUCAAUUUUACUCCAUCUCUUCUUGCCUCAAACUUUCCAUAUCCGUCCCCAUUCUACCCUCACUUCUUCAACCUGUGAUUCCUAGGUGAUUCCUACAAGGAGACGUGAUAGCGUGCAAGACUCAACUCCCGUCUUCAAUGAACUUACGUUUCAAUGAGAAUAAUUCUUCAACUACGCAUCCCGUCUAUCUUAUUUGCUUCAGCAUCUCUCAUGAUUAGAACAUAGCCUUGAGGACUGUCAUAAAGAAGAGGGAUUUACCCUGGGCUACAUCGGCUCUAGGAGAUGGAACCGACUAAGAGUGGGAGCCGAAGCAGGUAUAUAUUGGUGCAAUUUAAGGAAGAACUUCCUACCAGGUAGAGUGUUCAAA
rnacentral:lncRNA from 1 species